GAGUGGCACCUGCUGCUGGCCCUGGUUUCCUGAUGGGUCAAAUGCAGGCUCUUCUCCAGGAAAGGUGCUCAGAGGGAUGGGCCCUCAGGAUGAAGCGUGGAAAGGGAGAAUUACCCCUGAUGCGGACCUGAGUUUUACUCUUUCUGAGAGGUCAAUGUCAUCUCAGAUAUACAGAAAAAGGAGAAUACAAAGCAGGUCCUUCUUGAUCAUCUUUGUAACCAGAUCUUACAGGAAACAGCAGAAGGAGCUCUGGCUGGUGGUCAGGCAUCACUCCCACCUUGGCCUGGUGUUUUCAGGUGAGGCCCGACCUGAACAAUCUCGGUGGUCCUGUCUUCCUUGACACAUUAUCACAGCUGCAAAUUAACAAUUUUCACAUGGAAUCAUUUUUCCUUCUACUCCUCCAGCCUCUCCUCAUCCUACCCUACUAGAAGGUAACUUCUAGAAGGUCAGGAUAUUGCCUGGAUUUGCUUACGGUUGUAUUCCCGUUGUCUAGCACAUUGCCUGGCAUAGAACAAGCACUUAAUAGGUAUUUACAAAUCAAUAAAUGAAUCUAAUCUUCCUUUUUGCCA
rnacentral:lncRNA from 1 species